GAAAGCGUCCGGGUUAGGUCUGUGUACGCAGUCGUGUUUCGCGUGCAAUAGUGAAAAUUGAGUUGAGACUUUUCGGCGUUAUUAAAAUGCAAGAGGUUAAAAAUUUUUGUUAUCAUGGUAGACGAGGGGCAGUUUGGAAGGCCUUUAGGGCCACAAAUAUGGACGCAGUUAGUUUUUCCUUAGGUCGCGCGGUAGCCACGUGCGACCCUGGGCACUGAAUUCUAGGGCAGGGGCUCUCGUGGGAAGAGUGCCCCGUGGACUCGGGUGAAAGUCUUUGGUUAGUUGGUGCUGCCGGCGACGUAUAGCCAUCUUGACUUGGUCACAGCACCCUGAGAAUUGGCCAGUUAGAUCCGGAGGAUACCAAGAAAUCCAAAAUGAUAGCGGUGAAAUCGUACUCAACAUCUUGGCAGUGGAUCCUCAUGUUUGAAUUUGUCUUGUGUUCAGGAUAAUCUGGGAAUUAUCAGAGCUGUGUUUCUAAAUAUUGAUUGUUGUUAAAUAGAGCAUACUAUUUAAGCAAAGAAUAAAAUACUUUGUUAUAAUUUGA